rnacentral:rRNA from 1 species
UACGAAGGGGGCUAGCGUUGUUCGGAAUUACUGGGCUUAAAGAGUUCGUAGGCGGCAUGAAAAGCAGGGUGUGAAAGCCCUCGGCUCAACCGAGGAAUUGCGCUCUGAACUGUCGUGCUUGAGGAACCUAGAGGUGAGCAGAACUGAUGGUGGAGCGGUGAAAUGCGUUGAUAUCAUCAGGAAUACCGGAGGCGAAGGCGGCUCACUGGGGGUUUUCUGACGCUGAGGAACGAAAGCCAGGGGAGCGAACGGG